UCAUUGAUACCAAAUAAGUGAGACCCAUAAAAAAUGCUGCAGCUCUUCCUCCACGAGAAGUCCAAUUAUUCGCAAUUUGAAGAGGAUCCCACAUAGCAGUUCCAUACAUGAUUUUUGAAGCAACACCCGAUACUAUACCAAUUGGAGCGGAAACAGCGGCAACCAAGGGAAGAAUAAGCAUUUGGACAUAGGGUGUCUUUGGAUGUUUUACAUACCUCGUGAAAUCAUUAACAUUCACAGCCAAGGUAGAGAAACCGGCAACAGAGGAAUUUAGUGCACACAUGAAUACCCAUGACCAUGACCUUCCUGACACAGUGGCUGGUUGAUCCCAUACCACAUGGCUAC